rnacentral:rRNA from 1 species
GACGAACGCUGGCGGCGUGCUUAACACAUGCAAGUCGAACGAGUGGCGAACGGGUGAGUAAUACGUGGGUAACCGGCCCUCUAUUUGGGAUAAGCCUUGGAACCGGGGUCUAAUCCCCGCAAAGGAGGGAUGGGCUCGCGGCCUGUCAGCUUGUUGGUGGGGUGAUUGCCUAACCAGGCGGUGACGGGUAGCCGGCCUGAGAGGGUGACCGGCGACAGUGGGACGGAGAGACGUCCUAGACUCCUACGCGAGGCGGCAUUGGGGGAUAUGGGACAAUGGGUGAAAGCGCGAUGCAGCGACGCUGCGGGGGGGAUGAAGGCUUUCGGGUUCUAAACGUCGUGCGCUAUCGAUUGGGUAGGUGGAGAAGAAGCGCCGGCUAACUACGUGCCAGCAGCCGCGGUAAUUC